rnacentral:rRNA from 1 species
GGGAGGGGCGCGAGCGUUGUUCGGAAUCAUUGGGCGUAAAGCGCGUGUAGGCGGCUGGGACAAGUCGGGAUGUGAAAGCCCGGGGCUCAACCUCGGAAUUGCAUUCGAAACUGCCCCAGCUAGAGUCUCGGAGAGGAGGGCGGAAUUCCCGGUGUAGAGGUGAAAUUCGUAGAUAUCGGGAGGAACACCAGUGGCGAAGGCGGCCCUCUGGACGAUGACUGACGCUCAGACGCGAAAGCGUGGGGAGCAAACAGGAUUAGAUACCCUGGUAGUCCACGCCGUAAACGUUGGGUGCUAGGUGUCGCGGGUAUUGACCCCUGCGGUGCCGGCGUUAACGCAUUUAGCACCCCGCCUGGGGAGUACGGUCGCAAGACUA